AUUGCUUAGUAUCUAGGUUUUUUAGGCAUGUUUAGAGCAAUUGUAUACAUACCAUUUGGCCUUUCACUUUAAUAAAGGAAUUUAUGGUUAAAUUAGUGUUUGGUCGUUUACCACAUUAAUAUUAAUUCAAAUAUUCUUAAUAAUUCCAACACAUGGUAAAUACUAAACGGGAGCGGUACCAAGCACAGAGGGCAAUGUGAAAGAAGGCAUGAAACUGCGAAGGGAUGCUGGGAAUAAUCAAGAGAAAUUUCGGUGAAGCAUCCUGUUUGGGGGGAGGAGGAGACAGCAUAGGCAAGGCAAAGCUGUGCGUGGAAGUGAGAAAGAAAAGCAUGACUUUGAUACAAAAAGAAAAUGAAAGCCGGUAAAGAUAGCUAAGAAGGGGAUGGGUCAGGCAAGAAAGAACAGCAGUUUAUUUAAUGAGACCAAUGAGAAAGGGGUUACAAGAUCUGAGACAAGAUAUGGUCAAUGGGAGAGGCAAGAGAAAGAAGAAAAUAAAAAAUGACACACAGUUUCCGGGACUGACAGACCAAGAAGGCUGAUGAUGUCAUGGACAGAGAAGAGAGGAGAGGAGAGGUUUUGGGUGGGAAGAGAACAGGUUUAGACAUGAUGCUCUGAAUUCAGCCCAGAUGCACUGGGUACCAAUGAGGCUGUAACCACUUUAAAUCUGAUUUACUGGAGUUUGCAGUAGUAGUAUGUCACACAGGCUUGAGAAUUAAACUUGAAAGACAUAAUGUAGAGAGUGCAGAAAAGAGGACACCGAGGGCAGAGUCCUGGAGGAUAGAUGGAGAGGUGGCAACGGAACAGGCCACAAGGAAAAAACUCUUUAAGGACAGGUCAGUAUUCUAAAAGGAGAACUAGCAGGGGCAGACCUGAGCAGAAGUGUGCGGAGGAGAAUGAACUGAUCAACAGAAUGAAAAGAAGUGCAGAAAAUGAAAGAGAAAAGAAGAAGCUGAUCAACAUAACUAGGAAGUGGUCGUUAGUGAAUGUGGAUAGUGGAAAAUGAGAGCAUGUUUGAACACCGAGGGGAAGGAGCCAAGACAGACGGACAGCAGCUAAGAGAAAUGAAGCAGUGGGAAAAGACUGGACCAAAGCCACUAGUUCUGAGACUUUCAAAAAAAGAGAAGAAGAAGAUGAUGAGGCAGCCUGCUUACAACAUACCAUAUACCAGACUGACUGCACACUGAUUUCCUAUGAUUAAAGAAAAAGAAACAUCUGGUCUUAGGUACCUGACGAUCAAGGUCAACGUAAGCAUCAUUUCCAACAGAGACUGGAGAUUCUUUACUCAUCAACUGCAAUUAGAUUACACUGGAUUAGAAAAAGCAAAAGAUUUAUUUGUAUAUUAAAAGCUAAGUUUUCAUUUAUAAAAAAACCCAGAUCAAUCUUAAAUUUAAGAAAGGUUUGUUCUGAAGAUAAAGGCUUAAGUUUUCACAUCACAUU